rnacentral:rRNA from 1 species
CCUACGGGUGGCAGCAGUGGGGGAUAUUGCACAAUGGGGGAAACCCUGAUGCAGCGACGCCGCGUGUGGGAAGACGGUCUUCUGGAUUGUAAACCACUGUCCCCAGGGACGAAAAUGACGGUACCUGGGGAGGAAGCUUCGGCUAACUACGUGCCAGCAGCCGCGGUAAUACGUAGGGAGCAAGCGUUGUCCGGAUGUACUGGGUGUAAAGGGAGCGUAGGCGGGGAUGCAAGUUGGGUGUCAAAACUACCGGCUCCACCGAUAGUCGCACUCAAAACUGCAGCUCUUGAGUGAAGUAGAGGCGGGCGGAAUGCCUAGUGUAGCGGUGAAAUGCGUAGAUAUUAGGAGGAACACCAGUGGCGAAGGCGGCCUGCUGGGCUUUUACUGACGCUGAGGCUCGAAAGUGUGGGGAGCAAACAGGAUUAGAUACCCGAGUAGUC